ACUUAAAGAUUCUUCCGUAUAAUCCUUCAUUAUCAUUCAGAUAUAUAUAUCAAGUUCCAUCACGUUCACAUAAGCCUGGACAGGGGGGGGGUUUUUAGUGGGUAGGCGAUACACGUAUGUCGAAUCCCACACACCUCGGAGUACGGACUCCGGGGCGUCUUGCGAAGAUUUUCCCCCUCCUACGUAA
rfam:Trachymyrmex septentrionalis contig12369, whole genome shotgun sequence.